rnacentral:rRNA from 1 species
CAGUAGCCGCGGGAAUACGAAGGGGGCUAGCGUUGUUCGGAAUUACUGGGCGUAAAGCGCACGUAGGCGGACAUUUAAGUCAGGGGUGAAAUCCCGGGGCUCAACCCCGGAACUGCCUUUGAUACUGGGUGUCUAGAGUAUGGAAGAGGUGAGUGGAAUUCCGAGUGUAGAGGUGAAAUUCGUAGAUAUUCGGAGGAACACCAGUGGCGAAGGCGGCUCACUGGUCCAUUACUGACGCUGAGGUGCGAAAGCGUGGGGAGCAAACAGGAUUAGAUACCCCCGUAGUCCCUGUCUCUUAUAC